UGGGGGGUCUAGAGGCCAUCCAGAUUAUGGCUGCAGGAGAGCCCUACUAGCUCUAAGGUGCUAGAAAUUGUGGGAGAGAAGAACCACAAUCCCAGAGACAGGUACAACUGCACCCUGACUUCGGGAGCAUGCUGUGUUGGAUAUAUGAAAACAGGUGUUGAGAAUAAUAAUUAGAAAUCUUUUAGCAUUAGACACUGAAUGAAAAUGAGACCAGGAUUUUACUUCACGACUUUUGUGAUUAAUUUAAAAAUGCAUUAUGGUAAGAAACACUGGUUUUUACAGAUGCUGGUGGGAUUAACGUAUGCCCCCUCAUUAUGGACGAAUUUGACUACAGCGUACAUAUCUCUGAGCUUGACUGGGAUUCCUUUUUCCAUGAGUGUGAGGAGUGUGACCUUCUGUCACCGGCGAUGGCCAGUUCCGAGGCAUCAGGCGCAAGCGAUGCUGAUGAUGUUGAUAGCGGUCCCUCAGAUGGAGACACUGAUGUUGACUGCACCAUAGACGGUCCCCCAGACUGUGAGGGGUUACUGGUGGAAAAUUAUAUCAGCAUGGGUGACCCCAGGGAUCCUGAGGACCUCCUUUCCAGCAGUGAAGAGGACAGACCUCUGGAGGCAGUAAAUAGAUUCUUUGAGAGGCUAAGAAGUCUGGCAGAUCCUGAAGAGUGUCUCACAUGCAGACCGGCUGCAGAAGCCACUGGGAGCGGGCAGAAACUGGCUGGGUUCAUUGAGAAAUAUCAUGACCAUGUUGCACCAAAGGGACCCUGGAAGUCUGAGACGGACACUAAUCAGAGCACAGAAAGCAACAAGACAUUCUCAGAGAACACAUCCUCGGCUGAUGGUGAGAGUGAUUUGGAGGCUCGUGCCAGCGAGUCCGUUAGUUUUCCAGUGGAGCUGCUGAUCAAUGGGAAGAAGGUACUGAUGAGGGAGACUAGAAAUAAACUCCCCAAAAGUAACAAAGUGACUGAAUAUGUUAACGUACCAACUGAGGGACAAUCAUUUAACUCUAUGCCAGCUACCCACUUAUGUUUAGAAAGCCAAGAAAAAACAAGCCCAAGGGAACAAGAUGUAAAGGACACACAACUAAGCACUGAGUGUCCCAGUUUGAGUUCACCCAACUCGGAGGAAGGCCAAUGGCAUAUUGCAAUGGAUGCCAGUAGUUUACAAUCCGAAAACAAAAACACAGAGAUAGUAGGUAAUACCACUAGUAAACACACAGACUGUGACAUUUCUAUAUCUUGUGCAGGUAUUAAUUCCACAAAUCGUGAACCAGGGAUCAUAGUGUCUAGUGAUUGUGUGGCUUCACCCAUACAUGAAAACAGUGUCCCUGAGCUACCACUGACUGAGGACAAAUCAGUAUAUCACUCACAAAUUCAUCCAGUAUUUCAGAAUAAUAUCCAAGACAGUGAGGAAGAGAGAAAUAGACCUGAUUUACAGAUGCAUCCAUGGGAAGACAACAGAAUUAACAAUGAAACCGAGCAGGAUGAGGUACUUCAGGAUAAGUUGGAAAUAAACACAUUGAAAAAAUGCAAUGCCACUGAAUCCAGGGAAGCUGUAACGGUAAUCAACCCAGAGGAAUUCAGCUGUCUGGAAAAAGGCAGAGAGAGUCCAAAGGUUCACAAAACUCAUUAUUUACUGAUGAAUACUCAAGAUACUUGCAAGUUUGACAAAGGAGGUCUGAUAAGCAGGACAUUUUAUUCAGAUCAGAACAAUUUGAAAAUUAUACAGAAUACAGAAUAUCCUUCAUCUCAGAAUGGCACAUAUGGAGUCAAACUAAGAAAGGACAGUUUGUCUGCAUCCAAACAAACACAAGUCCAUGUAGACCAGAAAAAAACAGAAAAUGAACAAAAUCUACAGAUAUAUUCACAGGACAUGAAUCCCAGCACAGUAGGUGGAGACUGUACAGCAGCUGAACAGGAAAGCCCACCAAGCAACUAUGAUGUAAAAAUAAAAUGUGACAUAGGGAUUCAUCAUAGAGAUGAUAUUGAGAGUCUUCAAAUGAGUACAGACUACAAUGUACCUGUUUCAGAAAAUACCUCACCAUUAAUUAGUAAUAGAUUUUUUCCUGAAUCUGGAGGACAGUUGAAUUUUCCUCAAACAGAAAGCAAGCAAAGCACAGAUACUCAAACUGAUGCAGAAACAACAGAAUCAAGUAAUAUUUGCAAAUCUGAUUUAUCCACAAGUCCACGUGAAAGCUUAGACAAUAUUAAGGUGUCAGAAAUUAAAAAUGUUCCAUGUGCACUUCUGGAUCCAUAUGGCAGCAUAACCAUUCAGACACACACCCAUGAAAUUAUAGCUCUUACUGAUGACUCUGAGCUCAGCAAUGAAAUCUGUAAACAUAAUCCAGUUUGUGCGGGCUCAGAUUCACAUACAAGUUCAGGUGACCUAAAAAAGACAUUAGAUGAGAAGAGUGUUCCAUAUGUACUUCCUGACACUAAAAACAGCAAAUACGUUCAAAUGAACACCAAUGAACAUAUUGCCCUAAGUGAUAUGUCUGAGUUUAGUACUGAAAGCAGUAAUCAUAUUCAGGCCCACACAUAUAAAGGUAUAUGUCUUACUGACAACUCUGAACUCAAUACUGACAGUAGCCCAGAAGUGCAGUUUUCAGAAACAGAGGCAGAACCUGGACCAAUCAUUCAUGAACAAGGAGAAUCCACACACCCUGUCUAUGCGAUCUCUUCCUUCUGGGAUGAAAUGGAAAAGCUAACAAUCAAUGAUAUCCUGCAGCUUAGAUUGGUAAGUAACGCCCAGCACUCCAGCAUAUCCUCUCACAUGCGAGGCAGUACUGUGAUGAAAGCUGUGGACUCAGGCAUAUUCACUCAGCCAGGGGAUUACAAGCCAGAAAGCUCCAGUGGGGAUAUCUCCAGCAUUUCAGAUAUGGAGGAAGAGUUGCCCCUUACUCACAAUGUCAGAGGAACUCCCAGUCCAGCACUAAGAGACUUUGUGGACCAGAGUCAGAAUACACAGGGAGUUUUGUGGGACAGUGAGCCGGAGCCCAUAAGUAUAAGGUCUGACGUGGGCUUAGAAGAUGAAAUGUGGACACAAUCUUAUAAAACUGGCUAUGAGCACCUGAACUUCAACAGUACUCAGCAGUGCCUUCGAAAAAUCUGCAAAAACAUCAGCGUGCAAAACCUCCGAGCCCUGGAAGUUGAGCCAGGCAUGGGACUUGGGCUGAAAGCUGCUUCUCAGCAUGAUACUCUCAUGGAGGAUGCUGACCCAAUUUCCAUUGUAAGCUCUAUCCCUACCGUUAUGGAAAGCCACAACGAUUCUUCACGUCCACCUUUAUUUUGCAGAGGAUUCUUUACAGACAACAAUAUUUCUUUUCCAGAAAUAUUUGAGUAUUUCUUCAACGAAGAUGAUACUGAGACUACACAGCUAGACAACAAAGAGUCAAGGAGCCCCCCAAGGAGCCCCCCAAGUCAUGGAAAUUCAGUACCUGAGACAUAUGAUUAUUUCUUUUCAGACUUUGAGACCGGCAAUUUUUUCCUUCCGCUGAUCGAAAGAGAUAAUUGCCAAAAUGAACCUGUCCCUAUUUUCGCCCACUCACGGUCCAGUAAACGAAGACUCAGACUUUCUACAGAGUAUGAUUUUUACCCCCCAGAUGACUCCCCCGUCAUGUCUGAUGAUGAUGAUUUUGAAACAGCCCCAGUGCGAGUUGUGACCCACUCUGACCACAGUGGUUUUAAGACUGGGAAGACUGCUACAUCAGUUGAGAUAUAUGAGGAAUUUUUUGAAGACAACACCUGGACUGAAGACCUGUUCUGGAGAAACCCAUUCUCACUAAGGCGAUUGUGCCUCCCAGGACUGACAGAUACAAAGGAAAAUCCCAACACCUGGUCCCUCAGAACCACCGACUGCAAUGAGAAAAGCCCCCCCAGGACGCCAAAACAGCAGGCUCACAGUCACAGCUCAGCACACAUCUACCACCUGGAAUCCUGGGUCUUUAGACAGAUGACAGAACUUCAGGAGCAGCAUGUAAAUCUUAUCACAACACUCACUGACCCAAGAAGGGACAGCCGCUUCCUGGCUCUUAGGCAGUCGGACUUGUGCAUGAUCUGCAUUGCCUUCGCCUCCUGGGUCCUUAGGUCUGCCAGUCCUCAGGCAGGUGACACUUGGAAAGCUGCUCUCCUAGCUAACAUCAGUGCACUGUCUGCCAUACGCUACCUGCGAAGGAGCAUCAAGAAUAAGGCAGCUCAGGAGGGACCGUGAUGCUGCUCAGAAAUAUCCUUCAGGAAACCUUCUAUUAUUAUUUGUGUGUCGAUUAUGAAAGCACUUGAAUGACCAGGGAAAACCACAAAUGUAUCCAACAGUUUAGAUAGAGCAAACACCACUUUGCAAACGUUUGCACGGCAAACAGGAUUCUUGCUCAGAUGUUCAGCAUCACCAAUGGAAUACAUACUGUAAACUGGCCACUGGUAAAAUAUUGCAGUGCAAAGCAUACUGUCUGCUGGAUCGUGAGGGCAUUGCUACGGCGAGUGGAAUUAGAGACCUCUGGACCGAUCAACUGACAAAGGUAACGGAUUGCCUUUCUUGGAGAAUAUUGUCUGGGUACGCCAGCGAAUACUGGCAGUCUCUAAAAACCCUCGCCCUGUGGAGAGAGCCCCUCACGAUCCGCGUGUCAGUGUCAUAUGGAUCCUCCAGGUAUGCCGGUGUUGUGCCGAAUUCUGCACCCCUGCCCUCGACUUAACCAAGAACAAAAACUGCUCGGAGCAGGUUUGAGACUUAGCAUAAAUUGCCAUAGCAGCAUGCCUCGAGUAAAACCUACCCACCUUCCGUAGUACGGGUUAAUCGCGAAGUUACACCACACAUCAAGUUACUCGCAAAGUUACCCCGAUAAGCCAGUAACCCCGCUUCGUAGUACAGCCCCCAGCUACUCAAACCUUUGGCUGGUAAGCCAUACAUAUAUAUAUGUAAUACAUCUCUCAUAAUUUUCAAUGAUGUCAUAACAAUUGUUGCGUAACAGGAUAAUAUUUGCAAAACAGUGGGACUUAAAGAAUAAUAUGAAUACAUUUGACCUGCUUAGCAAAUUGCAGUUGUUUCUUUACAGUCUUGAUUGCUUUGGCACAUUUCAUGAAACAAACUUAAUGUAAUUGAAGGAGUACUGAAUGAAGCACAUUUCCUGAAUUGUGAGGGAGCGUCAGUUACAGCACUACAGGCAUGUGAAACGAUUCACUGAGGGUGAUCCAGCUCGCAUGAUUCUCAUUACUGAUGAUUACUGUGAUAAAAAAAAAAAAUCUUAGAGUGCAUCUCAAGACCUAGCUGGAUCUGGUCACAGCUCUUCAUUGACAUCACAGGCAAUAUCCUCAUCAACUCUAUAGCGUGGGAAGAAACUCCGUCUAUGUCACGUGCCUCUUCCAUUGCCUGCAGGAGAGGCUUGUACACAUAGGGCCACCAAUCACACACCCUCCAUCACUACACCAAAAAAACCUUCAGUAGGAUAGAGAAAUGGAAAGCUGGGAUGAAGAUGUUUUAUAAGAAAUUGUGAGUGGACAAUAAAGCGUUUUAGGACCAGGACUGCUGGAAGCUGACAUUGUUCCAAACUAUAUGUGCAGUUCUGUGUAUACGAAUGUUGUGCAGUCUGUAUGAAAAUGCAAGUAUGUGGGCUGUCAUGUAUGUAGUCCAAAGAUGGGAUGUUGGACGAAUGUAUUUUUUGACGUGGCCACUAGCACAUUCAGCUAGUCAAUCUGUCACUGACUUUUUAACCCAAUAUAUGUAAUUAUUUAAUUCAACUGUUGAUGAUAUUUAACAAAAUCAUGGAAUGGCUGAGGUGGCCCUGAGGAGAAGUUUGGGAACUGAAGCGGUGUUCAUCUAGCCAUCCAACUAGAGUAACAGUAUCAGUAACUUUUUAGAAAACAAAAAGAAAUUAUUACUAGUUUUUAUUGUGUUACUCUUAAUUUGCACGUUCUAAUGUUAAAUUGUGUUUUUUGGUCUAGGCCAAAGUACACUUGCUACCCAGAUAAACAGCUUUAAACAUUUCGUUAGACUGCCUAAGAUUUUGCACAGUACUGUAUAUAUUGAUGCAUAUAUUAUUUUGGGUUUAAAAUGAUGUCGUUGUAUUGUAUAUGGUGAUUUGCAUAUUAAGAAGUUAUGUUUUGUUACGCACAAGUGACUUCAUUGUGUAUAGGGCUUACUUUCAUUGCUUUGCAAAUGUUAGUCAUUUGAGAAAUGUGCCAAAGCAACUGAGAAAAACUGUAAAAAAAAAAAAAAAAAAAAAAACACUUGCUUUUUGUUUAUUUUACUGCGUAAUGCUUAUUUGACAUUGUAGUUCUUGAUCUGUGUUGAUCUUGAGUUUUAUGCAAUAAAAAGGGAAACAAAAAUGUA